rnacentral:tmRNA from 1 species
GGGGGUGAACUAGAUUCGACGUGUACGUGGAAUCCAUGGAAGCGUGUCGAGGUUCCGGACCUCGUUAAAUACCGGAAAACCUAGAAUUGCCAACGAUAACCUGGCUUUGGCCGCGUAACUAACACGUGACCCGUCCGCCGUUUUGCCCGCCCGAGGCGGGGCGGUUGGGCGUCAAUGAUUCGGGCUUGUUCGGCGUGGUUGUCACCGCCUCGGCGAAUGAAAUGGGCGCAAGCCCAGGUGACUGGCUGGUCGCGGGCCGUUGAGGAGCCCAGCUUCCUGUGAGAUCGAAUCCUCAAAUAUGCACGUAGAAGCCACGGAAGAAGUGUGCUCGGACCCGGGUGCGAUUCCCGGCACCUCCAUCA